rnacentral:rRNA from 1 species
GAUGAACGCUGGCUACAGGCUUAACACAUGCAAGUCGAGGGGAAACGACGGGGAAGCUUGCUUCCCCGGGCGUCGACCGGCGCACGGGUGAGUAACGCGUAUCCAACCUGCCUCUGACUGAGGGAUAACCCGUCGAAAGUCGGCCUAAUACCUCAUGGUAUCGUCUGCGGGCAUCCAACGACGAUUAAAGAUUUCAUCGGUCAGGGAUGGGGAUGCGUCUGAUUAGCUUGUUGGCGGGGUAACGGCCCACCAAGGCUACGAUCAGUAGGGGUUCUGAGAGGAAGGUCCCCCACAUUGGAACUGAGACACGGUCCAAACGCCUACGGGAGGCAGCAGUGAGGAAUAUUGGUCAAUGGGCGAGAGCCUGAACCAGCCAAGUAGCGUGCAGGAAGACGGCCCUAUGGGUUGUAAACUGCUUUUAUGCGGGGAUAAAGUGAGGGACGGGUCCCUCAUUGCAGGUACCGCAUGAAUAAGGACCGGCUAAUUCCGUG